UACGUAGGGCGCAAGCGUUGUCCGGAAUUAUUGGGCGUAAAGAGCUCGUAGGUGGCGUGUCGCGUCUGCCGUGAAAGCCCAUGGCUUAACUGUGGGUCUGCGGUGGAUACGGGCAGGCUGGAGGCUGGUAGGGGCAAGCGGAAUUCCUGGUGUAGCGGUGAAAUGCGCAGAUAUCAGGAAGAACACCAAUGGCGAAAGCAGCUCUCUGGGACGGUACUGACGCUGAGACGCGAAAGCGUGGGGAGCGAACAGG
rnacentral:rRNA from 1 species